ACCUCAUCCGAGGGGAGCCCCAUGCUGGGCUGAGAGUCCGCAAACCUGCGGAGACCCUUAGAACCUGAUCCGGCUUGCACCGGCGAAGGGACAGGAGAUUUUGCGGUGA
rnacentral:ncRNA from 1 species